rnacentral:lncRNA from 1 species
AUAGACUUAGCAACGCACCACCGUUCUUUCUCUUUUUUUGUAAUCAAAUCGCUUGUAGAUGCAUUAACGUAUAUAAUAUCUUAUUAGUUUUCUUCUUCCUAACAAGAGUCUUACGUUUUUUUGUGAAUUGUGAGCGAAUAUUAUAGUUUAUUUGUCGUCCUCUAUUUAACUAAAUAGCUACCGAUAUACACGUCCAGUUAAAGGAGAAAUAGGAGAAAAGAUAUUGAUAUACAUGCAUGUAUGUGUGUGUAUCC